UACGAAGGGUGCAAGCGUUACUCGGAAUUACUGGGCGUAAAGCGUGCGUAGGUGGUUUGUUAAGUCUGUUGUGAAAGCCCCGGGCUCAACCUGGGAAUGGCAAUGGAUACUGGCAAGCUAGAGUGCGGUAGAGGGUAGUGGAAUUCCCGGUGUGGCGGUGAAAUGCGUAGAGAUCGGGAGGAACACCAGUGGCGAAGGCGGCUACCUGGACCAGCACUGACACUGAGGCACGAAAGCGUGGGGAGCAAACAGG
rnacentral:rRNA from 1 species